AUUGAACGCUGGCGGCAUGCUUUACACAUGCAAGUCGAACGGCAGCGCGGGCUUCGGCCUGGCGGCGAGUGGCGAACGGGUGAGUAAUACAUCGGAACGUGCCCAGUAGUGGGGGAUAGCUCGGCGAAAGCCGGAUUAAUACCGCAUACGACCUGAGGGUGAAAGCGGGGGAUCUUCGGACCUCGCGCUAUUGGAGCGGCCGAUGGCAGAUUAGCUAGUUGGUGGGGUAAAGGCCUACCAAGGCGACGAUCUGUAGCUGGUCUGAGAGGACGACCAGCCACACUGGGACUUAGACACGGUCCAGACUCCUACGGGAGGCAGCAGUGGGGAAUUUUGGACAAUGGGCGAAAGCCUGAUCCAGCAAUGCCGCGUGUGUGAUGAAGGCCUUCGGGUUGUAAAGCACUUUUGGCGGGAACGAAAAGGACUGUGCCAAUACCACGGUUCGAUGACGGUACCCGCAGAAUAAGCACCGGCUAACUACGUG
rnacentral:rRNA from 1 species